rnacentral:tRNA from 1 species
GUUUGGGUAGCUUAAUUAUAGAGCAUGAUAUUGAAGAUAUUAAGGUAGUUUUUAACUUUCAAACA